GGCAUUCUAAAAAUGAGCAGUCGAUACAUCGGGUUUCCCUACACUGUGGGUGAACAGGCCAACAUUAAAAGGCAAUUUGCAGCAAUGGCAGGUUUCCCAAAUGUGAUCGGUGCCAUUGACUGCACUCAUGUUGCUAUAAGGGCUCCAACCGAAAAUGAAUUUGUCUAUGUGAACUGUAAAAAUGUGCACACCUUCAAUGUACAAGUUAUUUGUGAGACGAACAUGGUUCUGACGAAACAUAGUGGCACGGUGGCCUGGCUCGACACAUGACGCAUUCAUCCUGACGCAGAGCAGUGUAGGGAGAAGACUGCAGGCCGGCGCUGGACGUGAUGGCUGGCUCCUUGGUGACAGUGGCUACCCCCUGAGGCGAUGGCUCCUCACCCCAUUUACGAACCCGCAGAGCGAGGAGGAGGUGCGCUACAACAUCACCCAUGCGCGCGGGCGCUCCGUUGUGGAGCGAGCCAUCGGCCUCCUCAAAUCACCAGGACCCCGACACACAGCCGCCACCUCGACAUGAGGAACACCAGCAGGGCGCAAGGCUCCGUGAACGCGUCAUGCAGCGGAUAACAAGACAACACAGUGUCAGUCAGGACGCGGCCACUGGCAGGAACGCCAUGCGCUCUGGUGCUGGUUCUGGGGACAGCUAAGCCUGCAGCCGCGGUGCCAGACCACGACGUGCCCAGAACCUCCUCGUCGUCCGACGCUUCCAAGUGCAGGAUGAGCCGGAGAGGAAAAAAGAAAGUGUUCUGAUUAAAAUAGGGUUGGACUAUAUAAAAAUUGCGUU